rnacentral:rRNA from 1 species
AACGGCCGUACCAUGCUGAAUAUACCGGUUCUCGUUAGAUCACCGAAGUCAAGCAUCAUUGGGCGCGGUCAGUACUUGGAGUGGGUGACCACCUUUACUGGGAACACCGCGUGCCGUU